CUUAGGCUCGAAGUACAAGAGGGGGAGGCCGUAGAAGCACGAACUGGGGGAGCACGGACAAAGGAUGAUGGGCGAGCACGACGUCGAGGUGGACCAGCGGCGGAGGAGCAAGCACCGGAGUAGGACGACCAGGAGGGCCGGCGGCGCCAAACCCUAGCCCGGCGCAUGCCUCAUCUCGGCAGUUCGGGAGAGAUGCCAAGUAGAUGGUGCUGCGAGAGGAGAAUGCGUGGAUGGAUAGACCACAUUUGGGCGGCGCUGGGAAUGAAGCGAACGGCGGACGAGAUCUGAGGAUACUUGACAGGGGCGAAGGGCUCGGCGACGGGGCCGGCCGGCGGGGAAUUAGAUCCGUGUUAGUUGGUGCUCGGCGGCGCUACGGUGGGGUGCUGGGGGCGACGCCGGCAAUGGUCGGAGUGGCGGUGGUUGCAGGGCGGCGGCGAGGGCACAUCGCGGUUGGGGGCGGCGGCGAGGGCACAAUAGACUCGAUUUGGGGGCAAUUUGGAAGAAGAUUCUGGGAGAUUGGGGCCGAGUCUAUACUUCCUUCGAUGCCAAAAUUUUUGCCUCUCGCGGGCCUACCCUCGCUAGCGCGCGCCUUGGCCCAAUAUUAUUUCGGUCUCCCGCUGAAAUACUACAGUCCCC
rnacentral:rRNA from 1 species